AUGGAAGUUUACAACGUAUCCACAUACGGUCCUCUUCACCGUCCAAUACGUCACCGUUCAUCCAUAACCGCCGUAAAACCAUUGCAACCAAUGAAGCUUCUACUCCACCACACUCAUCCUUUGCAUAGUAUCACAGAUUCGAUCACGAUAACUCCGAUCCGCACCCAUAUCGUUUUCGGCGCUUUCUCCGACUACUCUGUUCUCCGCAACGAGAGAUUGAGAAGAUGA